rnacentral:rRNA from 1 species
AUUGAACGCUGGCGGCAUGCUUUACACAUGCAAGUCGAACGGCAGCGCGGGCUUCGGCCUGGCGGCGAGUGGCGAACGGGUGAGUAAUACAUCGGAACGUGCCCAGUAGUGGGGGAUAGCUCGGCGAAAGCCGGAUUAAUACCGCAUACGACCUGAGGGUGAAAGCGGGGGAUCUUCGGACCUCGCGCUAUUGGAGCGGCCGAUGGCAGAUUAGCUAGUUGGUGGGGUAAAGGCCCACCAAGGCGACGAUCUGUAGCUGGUCUGAGAGGACGACCAGCCACACUGGGACUGAGACACGGCCCAGACUCCUACGGGAGGCAGCAGUGGGGAAUUUUGGACAAUGGGCGAAAGCCUGAUCCAGCAAUGCCGCGUGUGUGAUGAAGGCCUUCGGGUUGUAAAGCACUUUUGGCGGGAACGAAAAGGACUGUGCCAAUACCACGGUUCGAUGACGGUACCCGCAGAAUAAGCACCGGCUAACUACGU